AUGAACGCUGGCGGCGUGCCUAAUACAUGCAAGUCGAGCGAACAGAUGAGAAGCUUGCUUCUCUGAUGUUAGCGGCGGACGGGUGAGUAACACGUGGGUAACCUACCUAUAAGACUGGGAUAACUCCGGGAAACCGGGGCUAAUACCGGAUAAUAUAUUGAACCGCAUGGUUCAAUGUUGAAAGACGGUUUCGGCUGUCACUUAUAGAUGGACCCGCGCCGUAUUAGCUAGUUGGUAAGGUAACGGCUUACCAAGGCAACGAUACGUAGCCGACCUGAGAGGGUGAUCGGCCACACUGGAACUGAGACACGGUCCAG
rnacentral:rRNA from 1 species